rnacentral:rRNA from 1 species
UUAAGCGACUAAGCGUACACGGUGGAUGCCCUGGCAGUCAGAGGCGAUGAAGGACGUGCUAAUCUGCGAAAAGCGUCGGUAAGGUGAUAUGAACCGUUAUAACCGGCGAUGUCCGAAUGGGGAAACCCAGUGCAAUUCGUUGCACUAUCGUUAACUGAAUACAUAGGUUAACGAGGCGAACCGGGGGAACUGAAACAUCUAAGUACCCCGAGGAAAAGAAAUCAACCGAGAUUCCCCCAGUAGCGGCGAGCGAACGGGGAGCAGCCCAGAGUCUGAAUCAGCUUGUGUGUUAGUGGAACGGUCUGGAAAGUCCGACGGUACAGGGUGAUAGUCCCGUACACCAAAAUGCACAGGUUGUGAACUCGAAGAGUAGGGCGGGACACGUGGUAUCCUGUCUGAAUAUGGGGGGACCAUCCUCCAAGGCUAAAUACUCCUGACUGACCGAUAGUGAACCAGUACCGUGAGGGAAAGGCGAAAAGAACCCCGGCGAGGGGAGUGAAAAAGAACCUGAAACCGUGUACGUACAAGCAGUGGGAGCACCUUCGGGUGUGACUGCGUACCUUUUGUAUAAUGGGUCAGCGACUUAUAUUCUGUAGCAAGGUUAACCGUAUAGGGGAGCCGCAGGGAAACCGAGUCUUAACUGGGCGUUAAGUUGCAGGGUAUAGACCCGAAACCCGGUGAUCUAGCCAUGGGCAGGUUGAAGGUUGGGUAACACUAACUGGAGGACCGAACCGACUAAUGUUGAAAAAUUAGCGGAUGACUUGUGGCUGGGGGUGAAAGGCCAAUCAAACCGGGAGAUAGCUGGUUCUCCCCGAAAGCUAUUUAGGUAGCGCCUCGUGAACUCAUCUUCGGGGGUAGAGCACUGUUUCGGCUAGGGGGUCAUCCCGACUUACCAACCCGAUGCAAACUACGAAUACCGAAGAAUGUUAUCACGGGAGACACACGGCGGGUGCUAACGUCCGUCGUGAAGAGGGAAACAACCCAGACCGCCAGCUAAGGUCCCAAAGUCAUGGUUAAGUGGGAAACGAUGUGGGAAGGCACAGACAGCCAGGAUGUUGGCUUAGAAGCAGCCAUCAUUUAAAGAAAGCGUAAUAGCUCACUGGUCGAGUCGGCCUGCGCGGAAGAUGUAACGGGGCUAAACCAUGCACCGAAGCUGCGGCAGCGACACUAUGUGUUGUUGGGUAGGGGAGCGUUCUGUAAGCCUGCGAAGGUGUGCUGUGAGGCAUGCUGGAGGUAUCAGAAGUGCGAAUGCUGACAUAAGUAACGAUAAAGCGGGUGAAAAGCCCGCUCGCCGGAAGACCAAGGGUUCCUGUCCAACGUUAAUCGGGGCAGGGUGAGUCGACCCCUAAGGCGAGGCCGAAAGGCGUAGUCGAUGGGAAACAGGUUAAUAUUCCUGUACUUGGUGUUACUGCGAAGGGGGGACGGAGAAGGCUAUGUUAGCCGGGCGACGGUUGUCCCGGUUUAAGCAUGUAGGCUGAUUGUCCAGGCAAAUCCGGAUAAUCAAGGCUGAGGUGUGAUGACGAGGCACUACGGUGCUGAAGUAACAAAUGCCCUGCUUCCAGGAAAAGCCUCUAAGCAUCAGGUAACAUCAAAUCGUACCCCAAACCGACACAGGUGGUCAGGUAGAGAAUACCAAGGCGCUUGAGAGAACUCGGGUGAAGGAACUAGGCAAAAUGGUGCCGUAACUUCGGGAGAAGGCACGCUGGUGUGUAGGUGAAGUCCCUGCGGAUGGAGCUGAGACCAGUCGAAGAUACCAGCUGGCUGCAACUGUUUAUUAAAAACACAGCACUGUGCAAACACGAAAGUGGACGUAUACGGUGUGACGCCUGCCCGGUGCCGGAAGGUUAAUUGAUGGGGUUAUCCGUAAGGAGAAGCUCUUGAUCGAAGCCCCGGUAAACGGCGGCCGUAACUAUAACGGUCCUAAGGUAGCGAAAUUCCUUGUCGGGUAAGUUCCGACCUGCACGAAUGGCGUAAUGAUGGCCAGGCUGUCUCCACCCGAGACUCAGUGAAAUUGAACUCGCUGUGAAGAUGCAGUGUACCCGCGGCAAGACGGAAAGACCCCGUGAACCUUUACUAUAGCUUGACACUGAACAUUGAGCCUUGAUGUGUAGGAUAGGUGGGAGGCUUUGAAGCGUGGACGCCAGUCUGCGUGGAGCCAACCUUGAAAUACCACCCUUUAAUGUUUGAUGUUCUAACGUUGGCCCCUUACCGGGGUUGCGGACAGUGUCUGGUGGGUAGUUUGACUGGGGCGGUCUCCUCCCAAAGCGUAACGGAGGAGCACGAAGGUUAGCUAAUCCUGGUCGGACAUCAGGAGGUUAGUGCAAUGGCAUAAGCUAGCUUGACUGCGAGCGUGACGGCGCGAGCAGGUGCGAAAGCAGGUCAUAGUGAUCCGGUGGUUCUGAAUGGAAGGGCCAUCGCUCAACGGAUAAAAGGUACUCCGGGGAUAACAGGCUGAUACCGCCCAAGAGUUCAUAUCGACGGCGGUGUUUGGCACCUCGAUGUCGGCUCAUCACAUCCUGGGGCUGAAGUAGGUCCCAAGGGUAUGGCUGUUCGCCAUUUAAAGUGGUACGCGAGCUGGGUUUAGAACGUCGUGAGACAGUUCGGUCCCUAUCUGCCGUGGGCGCUGGAGAAUUGAGGGGGGCUGCUCCUAGUACGAGAGGACCGGAGUGGACGCAUCACUGGUGUUCGGGUUGUCAUGCCAAUGGCACUGCCCGGUAGCUAAAUGCGGAAGAGAUAAGUGCUGAAAGCAUCUAAGCACGAAACUUGCCCCGAGAUGAGUUCUCCCUGAGACUUUAAGUCUCCUGAAGGAACGUUGAAGACGACGACGUUGAUAGGCCGGGUGUGUAAGCGCAGCGAUGCGUUGAGCUAACCGGUACUAAUGAACCGUGAGGCUUAACCUU